rnacentral:rRNA from 1 species
GAUGAACGCUGGCGGCGUGCUUAACACAUGCAAGUCGAACGAAGCACCUCUCCCGAAGAUUGACACAGCUUGCUGUAGAUUGAUUCAUUUGAGGUGACUGAGUGGCGGACGGGUGAGUAACGCGUGGGUAACCUGCCUCAUAGAGGGGGACAACAGUUGUAAACGACUGCUAAUACCGCAUAGUAAGAAGAAUUCGCAUUUUUUCUUCUUGAAAGAUUUAUCGCUAUGAGAUGGACCCGCGUCUGAUUAGCUAGUUGGUAAGGUAACGGCUUACCAAGGCGACGAUCAGUAGCCGGCUUGAGAGAGUGAACGGACACAUUGGGACUGAGACACGGCCCAAACUACUACGGGAGGCAGCAGUGGGGAAUAUUGCACAAUGGGGGAAACCCUGAUGCAGCGACGCCGCGUGAGUGAAGAAGUAUUUCGGUAUGUAAAGCUCUAUCAGCAGGGAAGAUAAUGACGGUACCUGACUAAGAAGCCCCGGCUAACUACGUG